rnacentral:rRNA from 11 species
AGAGCUGACCUAAAUACCCUAAAGACACUAGAUUCCAUCUGAUCUUGGAAGCAAGGCAGGUCAUCCCUGAUUAGUACAUGGGUGAAAGACUAUCAACAGUGAAAUUCAUGGGGUUAUAUCAU